GACAGAGGGGGCAAGCGUUGCUCGGAAUUACUGGGCGUAAAGGGCGCGUAGGCGGGAUGGCAAGUCGGUCGUGAAAUCCUUCGGCUCAACCGAAGAACGUCGAUCGAUACUGCUGUUCUUGAGGGUUGCAGAGGAGACUGGAAUUCCCGGUGUAGCGGUGAAAUGUGUAGAGAUCGGGAGGAACACCGGUGGCGAAGGCGGGUCUCUGGGCAAUUCCUGACGCUGAGAAGCGAAAGCAUGGGGAGCGAACAGG
rnacentral:rRNA from 1 species